UCAAUAAGCGGAGGAAAAGAAACCAACAGGGAUUGCCCUAGUAACGGCGAGUGAAGCGGCAACAGCUCAAAUUUGAAAUCUGGCUUCGGCCCGAGUUGUAAUUUGCAGAGGAUGCUUUUGGUGCGGUGCCUUCCGAGUUCCCUGGAACGGGACGCCACAGAGGGUGAGAGCCCCGUAUGGUCGGACACCAAUCCUGUGUAAAGCUCCUUCGACGAGUCGAGUAGUUUGGGAAUGCUGCUCUAAAUGGGAGGUAAAUCUCUUCUAAAGCUAAAUACCGGCCAGAGACCGAUAGCGCACAAGUAGAGUGAUCGAAAGAUGAAAAGCACCUUGAAAAGGGGGUUAAACAGUACGUGAAAUUGUUGAAAGGGAAGCACUUGUGACCAGACUUGGGCCGGGCGGCUCAUCAGGGGUUCUCCCCUGUGCACUCCGCCCGGUACAGGCCAGCAUCGGUUCUUGCCGGGGGAUAAGAACGGAAGGAACGUGGCCCCCCUUCGGGGGGGUGUUAUAGCCUGCCGUACGAUACCCUGGCGGGGACCGAGGUUCGCGCUUCCGCAAGGAUGCUGGCGUAAUGGUUACUAGUGACCCGUCUUGAAACACGGACCAAGGAGUCGUCCAUUAGAGCGAGCGUUUGGGUGUCAAACCCGCACGCGUAAUGAAAGUGAAAUUAGGUGAGAGCUUCGGCGCAUCAUCGACCGAUCCUGAUGUUCUCGGAAGGAUUUGAGUAAGAGUUUUAACGGACGGACCCGAAAGACAGUGAACUAUGCUUGUAUAGGGUGAAGCCAGAGGAAACUCUGGUGGAGGCUCGCAGCGGUUCUGACGUGCAAAUCGAUCGUCAAAUAUGAGCAUGGGGGCGAAAGACUAAUCGAACUGUCUAGUA
rnacentral:rRNA from 1 species